CCUACGGGUGGCAGCAGUGAGGAAUAUUGGUCAAUGGACGAGAGUCUGAACCAGCCAAGUAGCGUGAAGGAUGACUGCCCUAUGGGUUGUAAACUUCUUUUAUAUGGGAAUAAAAUGUUCCACGUGUGGGAUUUUGUAUGUACCAUAUGAAUAAGGAUCGGCUAACUCCGUGCCAGCAGCCGCGGUAAUACGGAGGAUCCGAGCGUUAUCCGGAUUUAUUGGGUUUAAAGGGAGCGUAGGUGGAUUGUUAAGUCAGUUGUGAAAGUUUGCGGCUCAACCGUAAAAUUGCAGUUGAAACUGGCAGUCUUGAGUACAGGUGAGGUGGGCGGAAUUCGUGGUGUAGCGGUGAAAUGCUUAGAUAUCACGAAGAACUCCGAUUGCGAAGGCAGUUCACUGAACUGCAACUGACACUGAGGCUCGAAAGUGUGGGUAUCAAACAGGAUUAGAUACCCCAGUAGUC
rnacentral:rRNA from 1 species